CAACUUUCGGUUUGCGCGUGAUCAAUUUUUCAACCAAAACAAAUCGAUGUUUGGCCUGAAUUUGAUGUCAAACAUGUCACAAAAACGCUCUGCUUUUAUCAGGAAAUUUCCGAAUGACCACUAUCCAUGGAACAAAAAGAAGAUGGUCACAAAAGACUCGAUCCAUUGCAGAAAGCAAAGCUUUGGAUAGAAGAAGAGGGGGGUCCACCCGGCUUUAAGAUUGAUCAUUUUGGAAUAAAGGG